AUGGUGUCACAGCCCCAACUCCUCCUCUUCUUGGCGCUCUGCAUCUCAGGUGUGUCUGGGGACAUCGUGAUGACCCAGUCUCCAGGCAACCUGACUAAGGCUGUACGAGAAAGCGUUGCCAUCAACUGCAAGUCCAGCCAGAGUCUUCUAUACAGCUCCAACCAGAAGAACUACUUAGUUUGGUACCAGCAGAAACCAGGACAGGCUCCUAAGCUGCUCAUGUACUGGGCAUCCACCCGGGCAUCUGGGGUUCCUGACCGGUUCAGCGGCAGUGGGUCUGGGACAGACUUCACCCUCACCAUCAGCAACCUCCAGGCCGAAGAUGUGGCGGAUUAUUACUGCCAGCAGCAUUAUAGCUAUCUUCCCACAGUGCUUCAGCCUCGAACACAAACCUCCUCCCCAGGGCCACGGGUCAGGGAGGCGUCGCUGGACCAGCUGCUUCCUCCCCACUCAGCCCUGUUUCUCCCUAAGUUGUAUGAGAAGCCUUCUGGCUGA